ACAUGUAGUGGUUUUUCUUUCUAAGCCAAACAAGCUGGAAACCUUGGAACUGGCGGGCUGAGUAAGAGUCACUGACCCAGUAACCUGGUUUAAAGGGCUUAGAGAGGAAGGGGGAGGAAAAAUAUCCCAGGGAAGGAAGAGAGCUGAAAUUCCAGUCUUUCAGGUCAGCUGAGUUUGAGUUUUCUUUGUACUAAAAAUCCAUUAACCCACACAUCAAAAAAAAAACCCCAACCAGAACUAAAUUUCACACACACACACACUCCACUUCAUUUGUUCCAAGGCUGCUGCUGCGGCUUUGCAAACUUCAGGAGCACCAAGCUCCAGGACUCCUCCUGAGAAGGACAGGAUCGGGAUGCCUGCCACUGUUUGCAAGGAGCUCCAGCUCCCAGGCCGAGAGCCACGUUCACCCUUCCCUUCGGCUGGGCCCCAUAUAUGCUUUCCUGAGAAGCAAUGACGGAAAUAGAGGAAUGAAAAAGAAGGUGAGAAUUCCAUUUUGGUGGUAUUAAAAAGAGGUGAAGAGGCCCACCAUACCAUUGGUAAGUGCACACAGAUCCUGAGGAGCAGCUGUCUGGAUCGGAGUGGGUGCAGCUGCAAGAGGAUCCCAGCCAGGGCUCCCCUACCCCCACACCAGAGUCUCAGGCACACCUGCCCAAGCCAAAGGCUUCCCAGAAAAGAGCUGCACAGGUGCACAAGCUUCAGCCAGAGACCCGCCAUACCAUCUCCCACAGUCAAGGACUUGCUUGGAAAAGACCUACACAAGCACACAGGCAACAGCUAGAGGCUCACCCCGACAUGAUUGAUAAGUGCAUGGAGACCCUAGCCAGAAGCCUGCACAGACAACAGGAACUGGAGUGCACAUCCCAAAACCAAAGGACCUCCCAGACAACAGCUACAUAGAGGCCCCAGUGAAAGGCACACAUAGAUACCAUCCUAAGUGUGCACAGGCCCCAGCCAGAAGCCCACCCAGAAAACAAGUCAGCUCAGGGAUCCAGAAGGCCACCACUCUGAACCCAGGAAUUGGUGUACUGGUGAGCAGCAAAUUAAAGGCUGCUUGGUGGCUUGCUGAGAAUUGAAGACCACUCGGGGAGCAAAGAGUCACCUCAACAAAAGCACAGCAGGCUGCAUCUGUUGAAAUGAGAAGACAUGUAAAUAAGUCUCAAAACCAGACUUCCAGAUCAUCUAAGGCAAACCCAAAGGGCGACAAGAUGGAACAAUUUGAUACUCAAAAACCUGGACUCCCUAACUGGCAACAAAAGAGGACCUGGAAAAAAUGAAAUCAGAAAUAAUUUCUCAGAUAACAGCAGAGAUUGUGUCCAUAGUAGAAGGCAUGAUUAAUAAAACUGAAGCAGACACAGAUAAAAAAUAGAGGAGCUAAGGAACAUGAAGGAAUACCAAUGUAGGAAACAAGUGGAAUCCAUAAAACAGAUGCAAACAGAUUUCCAGGAGAUUAAAAACUCCAUUGAAAGUGUAAGCAGCAGAAUGAGCCAAUGUGAAGACAGAAUUUCAGAUAUAGAAGAUAGGAUUGCAAUUAAUGACCAAGAAAAAAAAAUUUCUUAAAAAUAGUAAUGAACCACAAGAAAUCAAUCCAGCACCUGG
rnacentral:lncRNA from 1 species